rnacentral:rRNA from 1 species
UGGCGGACGGGUGAGUAAUGUCUGGGAAACUGCCCGAUGGAGGGGGAUAACUACUGGAAACGGUAGCUAAUACCGCAUAACGUCGCAAGACCAAAGAGGGGGACCUUAGGGCCUCUUGCCAUCGGAUGUGCCCAGAUGGGAUUAGCUAGUAGGUAAGGUAACGGCUUACCUAGGCGACGAUCCCUAGCUGGUCUGAGAGGAUGAUCAGCCACACUGGGACUGAGACACGGCCCAG